GAUGAACGCUGGCGGCGUGCCUAAUACAUGCAAGUCGAGCGAACAGACGAGGAACUUGCUCCUCUGACGUUAGCGGCGGACGGGUGAGUAACACGUGGAUAACCUACCUAUAAGACUGGGAUAACUUCGGGAAACCGGAGCUAAUACCGGAUAAUAUAUUGAACCGCAUGGUUCAAUAGUGAAAGACGGUUUUGCUGUCACUUAUAGAUGGAUCCGCGCCGCAUUAGCUAGUUGGUAAGGUAACGGCUUACCAAGGCAACGAUGCGUAGCCGACCUGAGAGGGUGAUCGGCCACACUGGAACUGAGACACGGUCCAGACUCCUACGGGAGGCAGCAGUAGGGAAUCUUCCGCAAUGGGCGAAAGCCUGACGGAGCAACGCCGCGUGAGUGAUGAAGGUCUUCGGAUCGUAAAACUCUGUUAUUAGGGAAGAAUAAAUGUGUAAGUAACUAUGCACGUCUUGACGGUACCGAAUCAGAAAGCCACGGCUAACUACGU
rnacentral:rRNA from 1 species